UUGACAGCAACGGCGAGUCGAUGCGACAGUGCGCGAGUAAACGCGACGUCGAAACGGGAAUUCCGGUGCAACUCCGGAGCGGUCGCGCCACUGUGAUCGAGGUACGCCUCGAGAAGCCAGACACCGUCGACGGCGCAAGGAUUUAC
rfam:Rhodococcus sp. RD6.2 genome assembly, contig: RHCRD62_Contig_10